rnacentral:sRNA from 1 species
GCCGGGUGUGGUGGCACACGCCUGUAAUCCCAGAGGCUCAGGAGGCUGAGGCAGGAGGAUUGUGAGAUCAAAGCCAGCCCCAGCCAAAGUGAGGCCCUAAGCAACUCAGUGAGCCCCUGUCUCUA